AUUGGAACUGGCUUAUGUAUUCCAAUUUUGAUUGCAGUUGAUGAAAGAUGUCGUACUUAGGGAAACAUUAGAUGAAAUUACUUUGAAAUACCCCUAGUUUGUCAACUUCUAGCCAAGAUCCUACAGGUUAGUUGAAUUGGAGAACAGAUGUACACACAGUAGAAAGGAUAUUACCUGAAAACAUCAAAUGACGGGGAAAAAAGAAGACUGCCUAUUUCAGAGAUAUAUAUUUUCACAGUAUCAUCACCCAUAGCACUACGAUCAAAAAUUAAAAAUGACAUUAAGGAAGAAAAAAAAAUGAAGACACUGAUCAAAAAGAAAAGAAGUUGGAAGAGUUUCGAAUAUUAUGUCUGAAUAUUCUGUCAACAACACCAUAGAUCUGGAGAGGGAUUUUUUUGCCUAAUAAUUUAUAUUAAUGCAUGUACAUUUAUUUUUUAAUUCUUUUUUAUAUAUAGUGUUGCCUUUUUUUCAUCAAGUGUACAUGUUACUUUUUUAGCUCACCCAAACUUAAAGCUCAAGUGAGCUUUUCUGAUUGAAAAAUGUCUGGUUUCUUUCUGUCCAUCUGA